AUGAACUUUCUAAAACGAUAAAUAAACACAUAUAAAGUUAAGAAAACCUUACAUUGGUUGCAGCAGAAUAAUGUCUCCUUCCACUCAGAUCUCUAACCCUUGUAUCCUUUCUCUCGCAAAGUAUUAUCAAUAUCUGAGCCUGAAUGUCCUUCUCUUUGGAGUGAAAAUAGUUUUUUACACCAAAUUUAGUGAUAGUAUGACACCAAAUUUAGUGAGCUCGUUGGAAAUGCUCUUUAACUCCCCGAGCUCCACUCCAAAGCUACCAUCCCUGACGCGGAAGCUUUCUCUGUCCAAUGCAUCAUUUACGACACCGGACCGAAGCUCUCUCUGUCCACAGCACCCAUUCGUGGUGGGGAAGCUCUCUCCAUCUCGAACACCCAUCUCCGCUAAAGGUUUCUUCGUCCGUCUGACAUAAAAAUCCCCUUGGAUUGUGAAACGAAAGGUUAUGGAGUCUGAAGUCGGUAAUUGCUAAUCCUUACUGCUCUAAAACAGCUGCUAUGAAUGCCAUGGAGAAAAUUAAUUGAUAGAAAUGCCCUGAUUAGCACUGUUCAUUAUCAUUAGUUAAUUCAUAUAUUCUUCUAUAAGAAAAUCAAUUAGUAACUGUUACUACCAAUUUGAAUAUGUAUUACAUUCACUUUUUAAUAUUCUUAUCCUUGGAGAAAAGGGCCCCUUGUAAAUAUGAAGAGUGUGUUAUGCAUUAAAUUUAGGCUGAGAUCUAAUUAUCAUUAAUGGUGAUGAUGAAAAGAAUAAUGGGGUUUGUCGUUUGUCUUGCUUUAGCUUGUCUCAAUCAAAAUUAUGGGAAUUUUAAAGGUUGCUAUGUGAUUACAAUAACAACUGUUAAAUUUGACUCGUAUACUCUAAUUUCAUUGCAAUGCUAAUUUUUGUCUGUUGUGGAUGAAACGGAAUGCAUGGAACUGAGAGAUGAAGAGAAGGGCUGGAGCUGGUUGCUAUCUUUCCUUCAUCAAAUUUGUAGCAGAAGGUGAAUUAACAGUAGAUUAUAUAGGCUAAGCCUAAAGAAAUGACUCACACAACCUAUACUUAUUAGCUUUGAAUCUCUGGCUUCUUUUUUUUUUCUGAUACAAUACUGCCUAUGGAUACGUUUUCUAAGUUAUUCCCCACCAUUUUGUUAUGGUAGCUCAUAUAGUGAUGCAUUGUCAUUCCUUGUAGAACCAUGAUCUGAAUUAUGUUUGAUUGAUCAGUUUGUUUGCUUGUGUGACUA